UGCUUAACACAUGCAAGUCGAACGCAACCUUCGGGUUGAGUGGCGGACGGGUGAGUAACGCGUGAGAAUCUGCCUUGGGGUCGGGGACAACCACUGGAAACGGUGGCUAAUACCGGAUAAUCCUUUGGGUAAAAAAUUUAUUGCCCCAAGAGGAGCUCGCGUCUGAUUAGCUAGUUGGUGAGGUAAGAGCUCACCAAUGCAGCGAUCAGUAGCUGGUCUGAGAGGACGAUCAGCCACACUGGGACUGAGACACGGCCCAGACUCCUACGGGAGGCAGCAGUGGGGAAUUUUCCGCAAUGGGCGAAAGCCUGACGGAGCAAGACCGCGUGAGGGAGGAAGGCUCUUGGGUUGUAAACCUCUUUUCUCAGGGAAGAAGCUCUGACGGUACCUGAGGAAUCAGCCUCGGCUAACUCCGUGCCAGCAGCCGCGGUAAUACGGAGGAGGCAAGCGUUAUCCGGAAUUAUUGGGCGUAAAGCGUCCGCAGGUGGCGAUUCAAGUCUGCUGUCAAAGCACGGGGCUUAACUCCGUUAAGGCAGUGGAAACUGAAUAGCUAGAGUGCCGUAGGGGUAGAGGGAAUUCCCGGUGUAGCGGUGAAAUGCGUAGAGAUCGGGAAGAACAUCGGUGGCGAAAGCGCUCUACUGGACGGCAACUGACACUCAGGGACGAAAGCUAGGGGAGCGAAUGGGAUUAGAUACCCCAGUAGUCCUAGCUGUAAACGAUGGAUACUAGGUGUAGCUUGUAUCGACCCGAGCUGUGCCGAAGCUAACGCGUUAAGUAUCCCGCCUGGGGAGUACGCACGCAAGUGUGAAACUCAAAGGAAUUGACGGGGGCCCGCACAAGCGGUGGAGUAUGUGGUUUAAUUCGAUGCAACGCGAAGAACACUUACCAGGGCUUGACAUGUCCGGAAUCCCGGUGAAAGCUGGGAGUGCCUUCGGGAGCCGGAACACAGGUGGUGCAUGGCUGUCGUCAGCUCGUGUCGUGAGGUGUUGGGUUAAGUCCCGCAACGAGCGCAACCCUCGUCUUUAGUUGCCAGCAUUAAGUUGGGCACUCUAGAGAGACUGCCGGUGACAAACCGGAGGAAGGUGGGGAUGACGUCAAGUCAGCAUGCCCCUUACGCUCUGGGCGACACACGU
rnacentral:rRNA from 1 species